rnacentral:rRNA from 1 species
GAUUAUGGCUCAGAUUGAACGCUGGCGGCGUGCUAACACAUGCAAGUCGCGCGUGAAAGGACUUCGGUCCGAGUAAAGCGGCGCACGGGUGAGUAACGCGUGGAUGAUCUACCCAUGAGUUAGGAAUAACGGCUGGAAACGGUCGCUAAUACCAAAUACACUCCGAUUUCAACUUCGGGGGAAAGGUGGCCUCUGCUUGCAAGCUACUGCUCAUGGAUGAGUCCGCGUCCCAUUAGCUAGUUGGUGGGGUAACGGCCCACCAAGGCGACGAUGGGUAGCCGGUCUGAGAGGAUGACCGGCCACACUGGGACUGGAAUACGGCCCAGACUCCUACGGGAGGCAGCAGUGGGGAAUAUUGCGCAAUGGGCGAAAGCCUGACGCAGCGACGCCGCGUGAGGGAUGAAGGUCCUCGGAUCGUAAACCUCUGUCAGGAGGGAAGAACCGCCACGGUGCUAAUCAGCCGUGGUCUGACGGUACCUCCAAAGGAAGCACCGGCUAACUCCGUGCCAGCCGCUGC